rnacentral:rRNA from 1 species
AAUAGCCUAACGGCUGAACCAGCAAUUUGGAAGAAUGUAUAGCGAAAGGCUAUUGCAUAAAGUUAUGCAAUAUUAAUUGAGUUAAAUAAAGUUCUGAGUAUAUCUAGAUGAUGACUUAAUAUACUCACGUGUCUUGACCAAAUUGCGUGCCAGCAGUCGCGGUAAGACGUAUAAGACUAGUGUUAUUCAUCUUUAGCAGGUUUAAAGGGUACUUAGACAGCGAAUCAAGCCGUAGUAGGAACUAGUUUGCUAGGGUUACUUGUGAGGGGGCUUGAAAGUACUAGUGGAGUAGAGAUAAAAUGUUACUAUACCUUAUUUCGAGAGAAAUGGAAUGGCACUGAUAAAGGCGAAAGCAUCCCCUUAUGUGAUAACUGACGUUAAAGGACGAAGGCUUUGGAUCGCGAACAGGAUUAGAUACCCUGGUAGUCAAAGCAGAGAAUGAUGAGUGUCAUAGAUUAGAUUGAGUUUAGUCUAUAAAUGAAAGUGUAAACACUCCACCUUAAGAGUAAUGUGGCAACACCGAAAUUGAAAUCAUUAGACCGUUUCUGAAACCAGUAGUGAAGUAUGUUGUUUAAUUUGAUGAUCCGCAAAAAACCUUACCACAACUUGAAUAUUUAUAUUUAUAUAUUUACAAGCGUUGCACGGCUGUCUUAAGUUAAUGUCGUGAGAAUUUGGUUAGAUCCAUUAAAUUGACGUAAACCCUCGUUCUACUUUCAUGUGGAGCGGUUCACCACUAUAUUGGAUAUGAUUAUAGGGAACAAGACAAGUCAUCAUGGCCUAAAUGUUGUGGGCUAUAGACGUGCAUGCUCAUUCCAUUACAAAGGG